rnacentral:rRNA from 1 species
AUUGAACGCUGGCGGCAUGCCUUACACAUGCAAGUCGAACGGCAGCACGGGUGCUUGCCCCUGGUGGCGAGUGGCGAACGGGUGAGUAAUACAUCGGAACAUGUCCUGUAGUGGGGGAUAGCCCGGCGAAAGCCGGAUUAAUACCGCAUACGAUCUACGUAUUAAAGCGGGGGACCUUCUUUCCUCGCGCUUUUGUGUUUGUCGAUGGCUGAUUAGCUAGUUGGUGGGGUAAAGUCCUACCAAGGCGAGGAUCAGUAGCUGGUCUGAGAGGACGACCAGCCACACUGGGACUGAGACACGGCACAGACGACUACGGGAGGCAGCAGUGGGGAAUUUUGGACAAUGGGCGAAAGCCUGAUCCAGCAAUGCCGCGUGUGUGAAGAAGGACUUCGGGUUGUAAAGCACUUUUGUCCGGAAAGAAAACCUUGGAACUAAUACGGUCGGGGGAUGACGGUAACGGAAGAAUAAGCACCGGCUAACUACGUG